UACGGAGGAUCCGAGCGUUAUCCGGAUUUAUUGGGUUUAAAGGGUGCGCAGGCGGGGGAUUAAGUCGGCGGUGAAAUUUUGCAGCUCAACUGUAAAAGUGCCUUCGAAACUGGUUUCCUUGAGUGUAGAUGAAGUAGGCGGAAUUUGUGGUGUAGCGGUGAAAUGCAUAGAUAUCACGAGGAACUCCGAUUGCGCAGGCAGCUUACUAAACUAUAACUGACGCUCAGGCACGAAGGCGUGGGGAUCAAACAGGAUUAGAUACCCCCGUAGUCCCUGA
rnacentral:rRNA from 1 species